rnacentral:misc_RNA from 1 species
GAUGAAGAACGUAGCAAAAUGCGAUACUUGGUGUGAAUUGCAGAAUCCCGUGAACCAUCGAGUUUUUGAACGCAAGUUGCGCCCGAAGCCUUUUGGACGAGGGCACGUCUGCCUGGGCGUCACGCAUCGCGUCGCCCCCCACAAUUCUCCGUAAAGGGAACGUGUGUUUUGGGGGCGGAUAUUGGUCUCCCGUGCUCAUGGCGUGGUUGGCCGAAAUAGGAGUCCUUUCGAUGGACGCACGAACUAGUGGUGGUCGUAAAAACCCUCGUCUUUUGUUUCGUGCUGUUGCUCGCAAGGUAAACUCUUUAAAAACCCCAAUGUGUCGUCUCUUGACGACGCUUCGACCGCGACCCCAGGUCAGGCGGGACUACCCGCUGAGUUUAAGCAUAUCAAUAAGCGGAGGA